UACGGAGGGUGCGAGCGUUGUCCGGAAUCAUUGGGCGUAAAGGGCGCGUAGGUGGCGGGACAAGCGUGCGGUGAAAGCUUGGGGCUCAACCCCGAGUCGGCCGUGCGAACUGUCUUGCUUGAGCACUGUAGAGGCAGGCGGAAUUCCGGGUGUAGCGGUGGAAUGCGUAGAGAUCCGGAAGAACACCGGUGGCGAAGGCGGCCUGCUGGGCAGUAGCUGACACUGAGGCGCGACAGCGUGGGGAGCAAACGGG
rnacentral:rRNA from 1 species